rnacentral:rRNA from 1 species
AUUGAACGCUGGCGGCAUGCUUUACACAUGCAAGUCGAACGGUGAACCAGGGCUUGCCCUGGGGAUCAGUGGCGAACGGGUGAGUAACACGUGGGCAACCUGCCCCUGACUCUGGGAUAACUUCGGGAAACCGAAGCUAAUACCGGAUACGACCUCCUUAGGCAUCUUUGGAGGUGGAAAGUUUUUCGGUCAGGGAUGGGCCCGCGGCCUAUCAGCUUGUUGGUGGGGUAAUGGCCCACCAAGGCGACGACGGGUAGCCGGCCUGAGAGGGCGACCGGCCACACUGGGACUGAGACACGGCCCAGACUCCUACGGGAGGCAGCAGUGGGGAAUAUUGCGCAAUGGGCGAAAGCCUGACGCAGCGACGCCGCGUGAGGGAUGAAGGCCUUCGGGUUGUAAACCUCUUUCAGCAGGGACGAAGCGCAAGUGACUGUACCUGCAGAAGAAGCACCGGCUAACUACGUGCCAGCAGCCGCGGUAA